UCCCUGGUAGCUCAGUUGGUAAAGAAUCUGCCUGCAAUGCAGGAGACCCUGGUUUGAUUCCUGGGUUGGGAA
rnacentral:tRNA from 1 species